rnacentral:rRNA from 1 species
AUUGAACGCUGGCGGCAGGCCUAACACAUGCAAGUCGAACGAGUGGCGGACGGGUGAGUAAUGUCUGGGAAACUGCCCGAUGGAGGGGGAUCACUACUGGAAACGGUAGCUAAUACCGCAUACCAUCGGAUGUGCCCAGAUGGGAUUAACUAGUAGGUGGGGGAAAGGCUAACCUAGGCGAAGAUCCCUAGCUGGUCUGAGAGGAUGACCAGCCCCACUGGAACUGAGACAGGGUCCAGACUCCUACGGGAGGCAGAAGUGGGGAAUAUUGCACAAUGGGCGCAAGCCUGCUGCAGCCAUGCCGCGUGUAUGAAGAAGGCCUUCGGGUUGUAAAGUACUUUCAGCGGGGAGGCGUUACCCGCAGAAGAAGCACCGGCUAACUCCGUGCCAGCAGCCGCGGUAAUAC